ACGUAGGUGGCGAGCGUUAUCCGGAAUUACUGGGUGUAAAGGGUGUGUAGGCGGGGAUGCAAGUCAGAUGUGAAAACCAUGGGCUCAACCCAUGAUGUGCAUUUGAAACUGCGUUUCUUGAGUGUGGGAGAGGUAAGCGGAAUUCCUAGUGUAGCGGUGAAAUGCGUAGAUAUUAGGAGGAACACCAGUGGCGAAGGCGGCUUACUGGACCACAACUGACGCUGAGACACGAAAGCGUGGGGAGCAAACAG
rnacentral:rRNA from 1 species